UACAGAGGUCUCAAGCGUUGUUCGGAUUCAUUGGGCGUAAAGGGUGCGUAGGCGGCGCGGUAAGUCGGGUGUGAAAUCUCGGAGCUUAACUCCGAAACUGCAUUCGAUACUGCCGUGCUUGAGGACUGGAGAGGAGACUGGAAUUUACGGUGUAGCAGUGAAAUGCGUAGAGAUCGUAAGGAAGACCAGUGGCGAAGGCGGGUCUCUGGACAGUUCCUGACACUGAGGCACGAAGGCCAGGGGGAGCAAAACGGG
rnacentral:rRNA from 1 species